GAAAAGAGAGAGGCUAUGGCUCCCACCCCGCAACCCCCCCCCCACCAGUGGUUGCGUCAGGCUCUGCGGCUUCAUCCCUUAGCAGCACGGGCAGCGGCUGCGGCCAUGGACACAGAAGCUGGGGAUGGACCAGGAGCCAUGAGCUGGAACAGUCAGUGCUCAGGAUUUCCAGUGACCCCUGCAGGGUCCUGUGAGGGACCUGAGGGCUGUGAGAGAAAGAAAGGCCAAUGCUGGGGGUCCCUGGAGCGCUGGGGUCAGACCAUGGAUGGGGAAGUAUUGCUCCCAGCUUUGUAUGAGGAGGAGGAGGAAGAAGAAGAGGAAGAGGAAGAGGGGGAGAAAGAGGAAGAGAAAGAGAACAAGGAGCAGGACAACGAUUCGAAGUCCCUGCAGGAAGACAAGCCUCGGGGGCUGAGCCUCACUGAGACAGAGCUGGAAGAGCUGAGGGCCCAGGUGCUGCAAUUAGUGGCUGAGCUGGAAGAGACAAGGGAGCUGGCCGGACAGCAUGAGGAUGAUUCCCUUGAGCUACAAGGGCUCCUGGAGGAUGAGCGAUUGGCCAGCGCCCAGCAGGCAGAGACCUUCACCAAGCAGAUCCAGAAACUCCAGGGUGAGGUAAGGUCCCUCAGGAAGGAGAUCUCCAUUCUGGAACAAGAGAAGAAGACUGAACUGAAGGACAUAGAGCAGGAGCUGCAGAUGGCCCAGGACGAGAUCCAGAGUCUGCGGCAGGCUGCAGAGGACACAGCGGUGGAGCACGAGGGCGACAUCGCCACCCUGCAGGAGGACUUGUGCCGCCUGCGCUCGGAGCUCAGCAGCAUGGAGCGCAUCCGCGAAGAGUAUGAGAUGGAGAUCAAGUCUUUGCGGAGUGAGAUGCAGCUGAAGGACUCCGAUCAGUCUGAGAAGCUGGUCCUCUCGGAUGUUAGCCUGAUGCAAGAGGAAUUGCAACAGUUACGGGACCGUUGCAACUGCUUGACUGAGGAAUACCAUGCCUUGAAGAUGAGUAACAGCAGCCUGUGUGAACAGCUAGAGGAGAUGGAAUCCCAGAAGCACUGCAGUGAGGACCAAGUGGAGAGCAGCAGAAAAACAAAGGAGGCAGGAUGGUUGAAACCACAGAAGAAGAUGUCGACGGCUGAAUCUCAGACUUCGGGAAUGGAUAUGUUUGUGGAUCUCAUGUCCUGUGAUGACGACGAAGACGAUGAAGAGGAAGAGUGUGAAAGCCUUCGGCAACAGCUUCAGGUUGCUGAGGAGCAGGUGCAAAAGAUGCAGAAUAAGUGUAAGGACCUGCACGCUGAACUGCUAGCGUUACAGAAGGUGCAUCGGGCCAGUGAGGAUGAGGAGAAGUGCCUAAAGAGGGAGCUGAAGUUCUGCAAGGAUGAGAUGCAUCGGCUUAAAAACUGCCAGGAUGCCCUUAUCAAAAGCCAGACCCAGGAUCUGGUGAACAAACUGUGUGGGCUGCAGAAGAAGUACCAGGAGAGCCAAUGUGAGCAGGCAAGUCUCGUGAAGGCACGAAACCAGCUGCAGAAAGAGCUUCUUGAAAGCAAGGACGAGCAACGUAAGCUCAUGAUUAAGAGGGCAUCGCUUGCAGAAAGCCACAAAAAAGAGAAGGAGCUGGAGGCCAAGCUUGAAGAAUUACAGAAUCAGUGCCGCAAAAGCCAGGAUGAAAACUGUCAGCUCUUGGAUGCACAGGAGAAAUUACAGGAGGAACUGGAUUUUUGUGGGAUGGAGGUGGAACGCCUCAGAGCUGUGGAGGCUGCCAGCCAAGAGGUUCUUGAGAAGAACAUGGAGCUGGAGGCCAGGCUGCAGGAACUGGAACAGCUCUACCAGGCCAGUCAGGAGGAGCAGGACCGGCAGCUCCACAUACAGGAGGAGCUGCAGGAGGCUCUCGAAAUCUGCCAGCAGAAUGUGGAGAUGCUCAAGAACAUGCAGGCCCAGGAGAAGGCCGUGCCAGUCAAGUGCGAGGACCUGGUAGCCAAACUGAAGGAACUACAGGACCUGUACAGCUCUAGCCAGAAAGAACUGUCCCAGCUGCAGUUCGAGCAGGCCCAGCUCCUGGAGAACCAGAGGAGGAUGCAGGAGGAGCAGGGCCAGCUGCAGGAGGAGCUGCACAGGCUCACCUUCCCUGUGCCUAAACCCAACCUGCUCCAAAAGAGUCAGGAGUUGUUGGAAAAGCUGAAUGAUCUGGAAGAAAUACAGACCCGCUACCAGAACCGGCAGGAAGAGCAAAGAAAACUGGUGGAGAGUCAGGACCAGGUAUUAAAGCAGCAAGCCCAGGUGCAAGAAGAGUUUCGACUUUUAAGGGAGAGCCAGAUGGUGAAUCCGGGUCCGGACUGCGAAAAGAUGUUACCUAGAGAUAAGAGCAACAAGUCAAGUGACCUGUGCAGCAAGAUCCAGGAGCUGCAGGAGAUGUACCAGAUAAGCAACCUGGAGCAGGAGCAGCUGCAGCAGGAGCAAGGGAGGCUGCUGGAGGAGCGCAGGAGGCUGCAGGAGGACCUGCAGCUUUGCCAGGAGGAGCUGCAGCUGCUGCACUCCCUGACCCCACAGCUGAGCUUCGACAGCAGCAGGGGCUAUCACAGGAGCUACGGCGGCAGCAGCAGCGCCAGCAGCAGCUUCAGCAGCUGUGGUGGCGAACAGGAGGAUUACUGUGAUGACAAUGAGAACACAGAGAUCCAGGAGGUGGUCACCUGUGUGCUCACCAGGCUGCAGGCAGUAAAGGCCAUGUAUGUGAUCAGCCAGGAUGAGCAUGGCCAACUGCAGUUAGAUAUGAUGCAGUUACUGGUGAAGAUGAGCCAUCUUCAGGAGGAGCUCCAGCUCUGCCAGGAGGAGCUCAAGGGCUGCGAGGGGAUCAAGACAGUGGAAGAAACCCCACCUGUUGUACCCCAGAGCAGCCCUGAGUACAAACAGCUCCAGUACAAGCUCCGAGAGCUGCAGCUUCAGUACCAGGUCAGCAUAGACGAGCAGAGCCGGCUGCUCUCUGUGCAGGAACAGCUGGAGGGUCAGCUCCAGUGCUGCCAGGAGGAGCUCUGGCAGCUCAAGGCUCAGAAGGCCCCCGUGCCAAAGGACAACGUGGACCGGUGCAAGAGCAACGCCAAGAACGUCACCAGGGUGAUAGGCAAGACAGGCCUCAAAACCGGCAUGGCCGUGUGCAAGAACGGCCGUCAGAGUCAAGAGCUGGAGGUGGUUCUGUACUACAAGGCCAGCCCAAGUGAACUGGAAAAAGAACUGGAAAGAGAGCCGGAAAGAGAAAGAGAGCCAGAGGAGCUGUGUGAGACCCUGGAGGAGGAAGAGUUGCUGCUGCAGGAGAUGCUGGAGGAGGAGGACCCCGAGUCAGAGGAGGAAGGGUCUGAUCCUGAGCCUGAGCCCGAGCCCGAGCCCGAACCUGAGCCCGAGCCCGAGCCCGAGCCCGAACCCGAGCCCGAGCCUGAGCCUGAGCCUGAGCCUGAGCCAGAGGAGCCAGAACCAGAGCCAGAGGAGCCAGAACCAGAGCCAGAACCGGAGCCGGAACCACAGCCAGAACCAGAGCCAGAACCGGAGCCAGAAUGUGUACCAAUACCUGUGGACAUCAGGCAGGACGAUGAACUCGCCAAGCCAGAACCUAAGGAGUGCACCCCCCAUCAAGAUCUCUGAGAGCAAAAAGCCACCCCCUGACCCUGACCCACCCCUCCUUCCCUGCCUCGCGUAGGCCUGGUGGUCAUAUCGGCUCUGCUCUGGUGCUGGUGGGCUGAGACCUCAUCCUAACACAGAACUUGUUUGGAAUGUGGAAGCCCUUAAUGUUCCUGGCCAUUGCCGCGGUGGCUCUCUACAUGUUACCGAAUGUGAAGCAGCCAGAGACAGAGUUUUGCUUCACGGAGUGAAAGAGGUCUAAGCCAUCUGGUAUGGUGGACCUAGAGUUUCCAUCACCCCCCCUCCCCAGCAGGACAGACUGGGCCAGAACUGCAUUCCCACCCAUCACCCCUGUCUCUUGGUUGUCCCAUCUUUGCAAGCUUGGUCUACCCAGCUCAGAAAGGCCCACAGGAGUUCCCGUCACCCUUCUUCUGCCUCCCACAAGAACCUGGGCUCCUUGUAACUAAAUGUCAGCUCAAUUA